GCUCCCGGGCGGCUCUGGAGGAGCUCGGUGUUUGCCUCUAGCCCUUCGCUACCGGAGGAUCAGGUUCCUCCCCUCCUCCCCCUCCAGCUCCGGCCGCCGCCGCCGCCGCCGCCGCCUCCUUCUUGCAUGACACAGCAGAACCGCAGCUGCUGCAGCAAUUUCAAGCCAUCCGCCCAGGAAGCGCCGCAACCGGGACUCGGGAGGGGUGGAGGGGGCGAGGCAGAGGCCGCGGCCCCAGGGGAUCCUUGGCCCCACUGUGCACCACACACUCCUUUCCCAGCCCAGGGGCACGCGAACAAAAUGAGGCUCAAGCUGACCAGGCCGAGCCGGAGGAACGCUGGGGCUUGGCAGCAGAAGGGAUGGGACCAGAGAGAAGGGUGUGGAGGAGACCCCAGUGAGGGCCAGGACAUUUCAGGUAAAGAGAGGUCAUAUCUCCGUACCUCACUUCCUGACACAAACAAGUUUUCACUGUUGUCAGCAACAAAGCCCUAAUAUAGCUGCGGAAGAGAAAAACUGCAUUGCAUUUUGCCUCCUGCAAGCAUCAUCAACAGUUACUGGAGGAACGUAAUUCCAGAAAGCUUGAAAGCCGUGGUGAUGGUAAUUAUGUAUCAAAUGCCUGGUUCUAUUUCUGUUAUUAUUGUUUUGUCAUUUCUGUUUUCCCAGCGAUCUGACUGAACUCGCAGAGGGACAAAUCCAGUUUUUCUUUUUGACUUUUGUCAAACUAAAUCAGGCCUGAUAGAAAACUCAUUGCUCUCCGGGGAAACAAAGUAGGAGCCACGAAAUGUCAUUUUAACAGAGCGUGGGUUUGGUGACUGUAGGAAAGGAUUUGAGGACGCUCCUUCUGUUCGGCUUCCUAUGUCAUGAGCACAGGCUCCACGCACGCACAGACACCACGGCUCCCGGAUGCUGUGGCUCCCCGAUCGGGGCUCCUGCAGCGCCAGAAGCCCCUCCGGGAUGCUUCGAGGGGCUCCCGGUGGGUGGAGGUACGGACGCCGCUGCGGCCGCCGCCGCCAGUCCUGCUGCUGUUGUUGCUGCUGCAGUCACGUGGGAGCCCCUUUAAGUUUCCAUAGAGAGGCCUCUCUGGUGUCACAUGAUGGACAUGAUAUAAUGAAACAACAUUGUGGAGAGGAAAGCAUUAGGGGAGCCCACGGCUACAAAAACAAGUGAGUGAGAAGAGGUGGGAGGAAGAGAAACUACGCCACCUCCCCUGCAGCCGAGUGCACGCAGCAGCCUGGCGUGACAAGUGGGCGACGCCGGGGGGCAGGGAGCCGGGGUCCUUGGCCCUGGCCGGGGACCCCACCGCCCACCGCGCGGAGGACAACUUUUAGCCGGCAGCCCAGACCAGCGCGGCACCUGUCUCCGGAGUCUCCACCGCUCCUCCCGAUUCAUCCCAGGGAAAUUCUCAAGAAUACGCUCUACAAAUCUACGUGCGCAUCAUUUUCACCUCGCGUCGCGCCCGGGAGGAAGGAACGAGGCAAGGAGCUAAAGCAGCGUGCGUUCAGCCCUGGGGCAUUUUAUUAAUGCUUUUACGAGUUAGAAGAGUUGGGAUAAUUUGCCAUCUGGAGUUUCUCUGCCUUGCUGAUCUGAGCUCAGACCUGCCAAUUUACCAGAGAUAAUUGAUAACACCCUGUAACAGCUGAGAGGAAAAUGGAAGAAACGGAGAUACUUUUAGUGAAGCAGAAUAAACCACUGAACAGCUACCAUACUGGGAACUGCCCAAUGGAGAGGCCCACAUUCCACAAGGAACUGAUGUCUUCAGCCAAUACCUCGCCAGGACCUGAGGCCUGCUGAGAGUCACGAGUGGCCUUCGUGGGUCCUCUCUCAACGAGCUUGCAGGUGACCACUGCGCCAGCCAAAACCUUGAUGGCAGCCUAUGAAUGCUGGUGGGAUGGAGCUGCAGUUUGUGUCUCUGAAGCAGAUUAAACACUGUCUGCCCCAGCCUGUCUUAACUAUCUUCUCACUGGUUAACAGUCCUUGGAAGAAUAAACAAUCCACACAAGCUCUCAGAAAGCAGAAGUUCCAUGAUUCGUGACCAGAGUCUCAUAGCACAGAAUUCAUCUCUAAAAACAGAGACAGAGUCUUGCUCUGGCACCCAGAUUGGAGUACAGCGGUGCAACCACGACUCACUGCAGCCUUGACCUCCCAGCCUCAGAUGAUCCUCCCACCUCAGUCUCCCAAGUAGUCAGGACUACAGGUGUGCACCACCACACCUGGAUAAUUAUUUUUUAAAACUUUUGUAGAGAUGGAGUCUUACUAUGUUGCCCAGGCUGGUCUCAACUCCUGGGCUCAAGCAAUCACCCUGCCUUGGCCUCCCAAAGUGCUGGGAUUACAGGCAUAAGCCACCAUGCCUGCCCCCUCCUUUUUUUUUUUGUAUUUUUAAUUUAUGUAUCAUAGUUGUACAUAUUUUUGGGGUAUGUGUGAUAUUUUGAUAUAUGUAUACAAUGUGUAAUGAUCAAAUCAGGUUAAUUGGGAUAUGUGUCAUCUUAAAUACUUACCUUUUUGUGUUGGGAACAUUACAGUUCUUCUAGCUAUUUUGAAACAUACAAUAAAUUAUUGUUAACUAUGAUUUUCUUACUGUACUGUUGAAUACUAGAACUUCUUCCUUCUAAUUUUAUUUCUGUACCCAUUAACCAACUUCUCUUCAUUCCCCCUGCCCCCACUCCGUACCUCUCCUCUGAUAAACACCAUUCUACUCUCCACUACUGGCCACUUCCAUGAGAUCCACUUUUUAAACUCACACACAUAAAUGAAAAUAUGUGACAUUGGUGCUCAAUAACAUGUAGUUCCAUCCAUGUUGCUACAAAUGACAGGAUUUCAUUAUGUUUGUGGUGAAAAAAUAUUUCACUGUGAAUAUAUACCACAUUUUCUUUAUCCAUUCAUCUGUUGAUGGACACAGGUUGAUUCCAUAAUCUUGGCUAUUGUGAAUAGUUCUACAGUAAACAUUGGAGUGCAGAUACCUCUUCGAUAUAUUGACUUCUUUUGGAUAUACACCCAGCAGUGAGAUUCCUGGAUCAUAUGGUAGUUUUAUUUUUAGUUUAUUGAGAAGCCUCCAUACUGUUUUCAUAGUGGCUAUUGUACUUACAUUCCCACCAACACUAUACCAGGGUUCCUCUUUCUCUGCAUCCUUGCCAGCAUUUGUUAUUUUUUUCUCUUUUUGAUAAUAGAUUUCUAACUGAAGUGAGUUGAUAACUCAUUGUGGUUUUGAUUUGCAUUUCCCUGAUGAUUAGUGAUGUUGAGCAUUUUGUAAUCUACCUGUGGCCAUUUGUAUGUCUUGAGAAAUUUUUACCCAGCUCUUUUGCCCAUUAAAAAAAAAUCAGAUUGUUAUUUUGCUAUUGAAUUGUUUACAUUUCUUACAUAUUCUAUGUAUUAAUUCAUUGUUAGAUGGAUAGUUUGCAGAUAUGUUCUUCCAUUCUGAAGGCUGUCUCUACACUUUGUUCCUUCCUUUGCUGUCUAGAAGCUUCUUAGCUUGAUGUAAUCCCAUUUUUCUAUUUUUUGCUUUGACUUCCUAUUCUUUUGCGGUCCUACCCUAAAAAAUCUUUGCCCAAACCAAUGUCCUGUAGCAUUUCUUCAGUGUUUUGUUCUAGCAGAUUCAUAGUUUUAGGUCUUACAUUUAAGUCUUGAAUUCAUUUUGAGUUGAUACUUGUAUAUGAUGAAAGAUGGGGAUCCGGUUUUAUUUUUCUGCAAACAGAUAUACAGUUUUCCCAGCACCAUUUAUUAAGGAGACUCUUUUCCCCCCCAGUAUGUGUUCUUAGUGCCUUUGUUGAAAAUGAGUUGGCUCUAAGUACAAAGACUUAUUUCUGAGUUCUUCAUUCUGUUCCAUUGGUCUAUGUGUCUGUUUUUAUACCAGUACUAUGCUUUUUUGGCUACUAUACCUCUGUAGUUUAAUUUGUUUGUUUUCUGAGACAGGGUCUCUCUCUGCUGCCCAGGCUGGAGUGCAGUGAUGCAAUCUCGACUCACUGAAACCUCCGCCUCCCAGGUUCAAGUGAUUCUCCUGCCUCAGCCUCCCAAGUAGCUGGGAUUACAGGUACCCGCGACCAUGCCCAGCUAAUUUUUGUAUUUUCAGUAGAGACGGGGUUUCGCCAUGUUGACCAGACUGGUCUCGAACUCCUGGCUUCAAACAAUCUACCCACCUCAGCCUCCCAAAGUGCUGGGACUAGAAGCAUGAGCCACUGCAUCUGGCCUGUAGUAUAAUUUGAAGUCAGAUAAUGUGAUGCUUCCAGCUUUGUUCAUUUUGUUCAGGAUUGCUUUGGCUAUUUGGGGUCUUUCGUGUUUUCAUAUAAAUUUUAGGAUUUUUUUUUUCUAUUUCUGUGAAGAACUGUCAUUGGUAUUUUUAUAGGAAUUGCAUCAAAUCUGUAGAUUGCUUUGGGUAGUAUUGUCAUUUUAACAAUAUUAAUUCUUCUGAAAAGUGAGCAUGGGAUGUCUUGCCCUUUUUAUCCUCUUCAAUUUCUUUAAUCAAUGUUUUGUAGUUUUCCUUGUAGAAGUCUUCCACCUCCUAAAUUUAUUCCUAGGCAUUUUAUUUGUAGAUGUUGUAAGAUUGCUUUGUUGGUUUCUUUUUCAGAUUGUUGGCUGCUGGCAUAUAGAAAUUUUACUGAUUUUUGUAUGUUGAUCUUAUAUCCUGUAACUUUGCUGAAUCUGUCACUUCUAAUAGGUUUUUUUGGUGGACUCUUUAGGUUUUUCUAAAUAUAAGAUCGCGUUGUUUGCAAACAAGGAUAAGUCAACUUCUUCCUUUCCAAUUUGCAUGCCCUUUAUUUCUUUCUCUUGACUAAUUGCUUUGGCU
rnacentral:lncRNA from 1 species